CGUGUAGGCGGUGCGGUAAGUUGGGCGUGAAAUCCCCGAGCUUAACUCGGGUGGGCCGUUCAAGACUGCCGUGCUAGGGUGCGGGAGAGGGAGGUGGAAUUUCCGGUGUAGCGGUGAAAUGCGUAGAUAUCGGGAGGAACACCUGCGGCGAAGGCGGCUUCCUGGACCGUAACCGACGCUGAGGCGCGAAAGCUAGGGGAGCAAACAGGAUUAGAUACCCUGGUAGUCCUAGCCCUAAACGAUGAGCACUGGGUGUGGCCCCUCACGAGGCCGUGCCGAAGCUAACGCAUUAAGUGCUCCGCCUGGGGAGUACGGUCGCAAGGCUGAA
rnacentral:rRNA from 1 species